rnacentral:lncRNA from 1 species
UCUCAAAUAAAAGAUCACCCUAAACAACUCUCUCUAAAAGAAAGUCACCCUAAACAACGAUGCUCUUUGCCCUUAAGGAAGUUUCGCUUGUGCAUUAAUUUUUUUGGUUAUGUAUUUUUUUUUCUAGUGAUUGUAUUUGGAUCGGCAGGUUUACAUUUCAAGAAUUACAAUGACGAGUUUGUUGUUAAUCUGGUGGUUACUGUUUUACAUUCGAUUUUGGAAACACAUUCGACGUGUGUUUCAUUCGGUUACUACAAUUGUUGCUUCUAUUUCCAUACUUAUUUAUGCGCUAUGGUAUGUGAGAUUCGACGCCCAUUUGUAACGAUACCCAUGUGUUUUCAAAAAAUCUUAGGACCGACCCUGGAGAUGCGCAUUGAUUAUGCGGUUCGGUAACAGCGCACACUUCCAACGGUCCACAGAAUUUUGGCACCAACACUACUUGGGCCGAAAGUUACAUAGGCACCGUCAGGAUAUUCAUCUGUUUCCCAAAAGUAUUAGGCCCAACUCGGAGGAGGAUGUAUUGAUUUCGAUGCCUGGUAUCAACGAAGCGUUCCUAGCAAUCCACGGAAUUUUGGCGACAACACUAGUUGGGCCGGAAGUUUCGGCUUUAAUGGUCACCGCCUUCGCCCCUAUAGCCAAUAGC